UAGAUGAGCUAAAUCUAGAUAUGCAGGUUUCCUCACGAUGUUUUUCUUCACCGUAAGAGCGAUGGUAUACAUUGUACUUAAAUUCAAAGAACUCAUUGGCACAUGUGGGUGUUGACCCCCGUAUCUCUGGCGUGAGAAGCGGGCGCUUAUCCGACUGAGCUACACUGGUCUAUCAGUUUCAAUAUCAUUUAAAUGACUUUAUUGUUUUAAAAUAAUGUAUUUCUACACUUACCUUCUCAUUAUAGAGGCAUGGCCCGGGAGCAGCGGCGGUAUUCCCGAAAAAAUAGGAAAGCUGAAAUUUAGAAGAAAAAAAAUAUUAAAUAAAGAUAUAAGAAGAGAUGUAAGAAGGCAAGCAGACAAUGGGAUGGUAUGUCUGCAAAGCCAAUCAUAAAGAACCAAAUAAACUGCUUAUGGGCUUAUGGUUAUAUUAAACCGAUUGCAUGUAUCUAUAUACUCUAAGCAUGUAUCAUAUUUGUUUUCUCAGCCUCACACUUUAACUCAGGUUCGCUGAAGCAUUGGCAAGCUGAAUGUGAGAUGGUAUGUUGAUGUCCUGUACAUUGACACGGAAAUGAGGCAUUGAAGAUGUUAUGUUGGGGACAAUGCAUGAUAGAACAGUGAGUUUAUAAUCACUGUUGGCUGACUGGAUAGCAAAUCGAGCCUUUUGGUUGGUUGUGUUGGAAGCAUUGCACACACCAACAAUUGUUUUCUUCAUCGAAGAACUCAGUAUUAAUUCGCUUAGCUAGAUCCUUUAGGAUAAAAUUUACAGAGCUCCCUGAAUCUAGUAGAGCUCUAGCAUAGAUAUGCUCACCAUUUUUAGCUUGAAGCUUGACAGAUAUUGUAGGCAAUAAUACCUCACUCUGUAUGUUAGACAUCAAUGAAACAUGAUUAGUAGCAGCAGCGGCAGCGGGUUGGCUAUUAUGAAGCAAGGUGUUGUGCUUGCCUUUGUAGAUACCACACUUAA